UACGAAGGGGGCUAGCGUUGCUCGGAAUUACUGGGCGUAAAGCGCACGUAGGCGGCUUCUUAAGUCGGUGGUGAAAUCCGUGGAGCUCAACUCCAGAACUGCCUUCGAUACUGGGAGCUCGAGUCCGGGAGAGGUGAGUGGAACUGCGAGUGUAGAGGGUGAAAUUCGUAGAUAUUCGCAAGAACACCAGUGGCGAAGGCGGACUCACUGGCCCG
rnacentral:rRNA from 1 species